rnacentral:rRNA from 1 species
AGAGUUUGAUCCUGGCUCAGAACGAACGCUGGCGGCAGGCCUAACACAUGCAAGUCGAGCGCACCUUCGGGUGAGCGGCGGACGGGUUAGUAACGCGUGGGAACGUGCCCUUCUCUAUGGAAUAGCCAUUGGAAACGAUGAGUAAUACCGUAUACGCCCUUCGGGGGAAAGAUUUAUCGGAGAAGGAUCGGCCCGCGUUAGAUUAGAUAGUUGGUGGGGUAACGGCCUACCAAGUCUACGAUCUAUAGCUGGUUUUAGAGGAUGAUCAGCAACACUGGGACUGAGACACGGCCCAGACUCCUACGGGAGGCAGCAGUGGGGAAUCUUAGACAAUGGGCGCAAGCCUGAUCUAGCCAUGCCGCGUGAGUGAUGAAGGCCUUAGGGUCGUAAAGCUCUUUCGCCAGGGAUGAUAAUGACAGUACCUGGUAAAGAAACCCCGGCUAACUCCGUGCCAGCAGCCGCGGUAAU